rnacentral:rRNA from 1 species
AGUGAACGCUGGCGGCAGGCCUAAUACAUGCAAGCCGAACGGCAGCACAGCAGAGCUUGCUCUGUGGGUGGCGAGUGGCGGACGGGUGAGGAAUACAUGGGAAUCUGCCCAGUCGUGGGGAUAACGUAGGGAAACUUACGCUAAUACCGCAUGCGCCCUUCGGGGAAAGCCGGGGACCUUCGGGCCUGGCGCGAUUGGAUGAGCCCAUGUCGGAUUAGCUAGUUGGCGGGGUAAUGGCCCACCAAGGCGACGAUCCGUAGCUGGUCUGAGAGGAUGAUCAGCCACACUGGAACUGAGACACGGUCCAGACUCCUACGGGAGGCAGCAGUAGGGAAUAUUGGACAAUGGGCGCAAAGCCUGAUCCAGCCAUGCCGCGUGAGUGAAGAAGGCCCUCGGGUUGUAAAGCUCUUUGUCCGGAAAGAAAAGACGCCGGGUUAAUACCCUGGUGUCCUGACGGUACCGGAAGAAUAAGCACCGGCUAACUUCGUGCCAGCAGCCGCGGUAAU